UCGUAGGUGAACCUGCGGAUGGAUCAUUUU
rnacentral:misc_RNA from 1 species